UUCCAGACUCCUACGGGAGGCAGCAGUGGGGAAUAUUGCACAAUGGGGGGAACCUUGAUGCAGCAACGCCGCGUGGGUGAAGAAGUACUCCGGUAUGUAAAGCCCUGUCAGCAGGGAAGAAAAUGACGGUACCUGACCAAGAAGCCCCGGCUAACUACGUGCCAGCAGCCGCGGUAAUACGUAGGGGGCAAGCGUUAUCCGGAUUUACUGGGUGUAAAGGGAGCGUAGACGGCUAUGCAAGUCUGGAGUGAAAGGCGGGGGCCCAACCCCCGGACUGCUCUGGAAACUGUAGAGCUAGAGUGCAGGAGAGGUAAGUGGAAUUCCUAGUGUAGCGGUGAUAUGCGUAGAUAUUAGGAGGAACACCAGUGGCGAAGGCGGCUUACUGGACUGUAACUGACGUUGAGGCUCGAAAGCGUGGGGAGCAAACAGGAUUAGAUACCCCCGUAAAA
rnacentral:rRNA from 1 species